rnacentral:rRNA from 1 species
UGCCCGUCAAUAUUCAAUUGUCAAAGAACUCAGAUCGCGUUCAGCGAUCUGCCGCAGCGAAGCUAAAUCUUCGCGGCGACACAGCACUGAAUGGGUAUUAGAUGAUGGUGGGCCUGGGU